GGGUUGUGAGGUUAAGCGACUAAGCGUACACGGUGGAUGCCCUGGCAGUCAGAGGCGAUGAAGGACGUGCUAAUCUGCGAUAAGCGUCGGUAAGGUGAUAUGAACCGUUAUAACCGGCGAUUUCCGAAUGGGGAAACCCAGUGUGUUUCGACACACUAUCAUUAACUGAAUCCAUAGGUUAAUGAGGCGAACCGGGGGAACUGAAACAUCUAAGUACCCCGAGGAAAAGAAAUCAACCGAGAUUCCCCCAGUAGCGGCGAGCGAACGGGGAGGAGCCCAGAGCCUGAAUCAGUGUGUGUGUUAGUGGAAGCGUCUGGAAAGGCGCGCGAUACAGGGUGACAGCCCCGUACACAAAAAUGCACAUGCUGUGAGCUCGAUGAGUAGGGCGGGACACGUGGUAUCCUGUCUGAAUAUGGGGGGACCAUCCUCCAAGGCUAAAUACUCCUGACUGACCGAUAGUGAACCAGUACCGUGAGGGAAAGGCGAAAAGAACCCCGGCGAGGGGAGUGAAAAAGAACCUGAAACCGUGUACGUACAAGCAGUGGGAGCCUCUUUUAUGGGGUGACUGCGUACCUUUUGUAUAAUGGGUCAGCGACUUAUAUUCUGUAGCAAGGUUAACCGAAUAGGGGAGCCGAAGGGAAACCGAGUCUUAACUGGGCGUUAAGUUGCAGGGUAUAGACCCGAAACCCGGUGAUCUAGCCAUGGGCAGGUUGAAGGUUGGGUAACACUAACUGGAGGACCGAACCGACUAAUGUUGAAAAAUUAGCGGAUGACUUGUGGCUGGGGGUGAAAGGCCAAUCAAACCGGGAGAUAGCUGGUUCUCCCCGAAAGCUAUUUAGGUAGCGCCUCGUGAAUUCAUCUCCGGGGGUAGAGCACUGUUUCGGCAAGGGGGUCAUCCCGACUUACCAACCCGAUGCAAACUGCGAAUACCGGAGAAUGUUAUCACGGGAGACACACGGCGGGUGCUAACGUCCGUCGUGAAGAGGGAAACAACCCAGACCGCCAGCUAAGGUCCCAAAGUCAUGGUUAAGUGGGAAACGAUGUGGGAAGGCCCAGACAGCCAGGAUGUUGGCUUAGAAGCAGCCAUCAUUUAAAGAAAGCGUAAUAGCUCACUGGUCGAGUCGGCCUGCGCGGAAGAUGUAACGGGGCUAAACCAUGCACCGAAGCUGCGGCAGCGACACUAUGUGUUGUUGGGUAGGGGAGCGUUCUGUAAGCCUGUGAAGGUGUACUGUGAGGUAUGCUGGAGGUAUCAGAAGUGCGAAUGCUGACAUAAGUAACGAUAAAGCGGGUGAAAAGCCCGCUCGCCGGAAGACCAAGGGUUCCUGUCCAACGUUAAUCGGGGCAGGGUGAGUCGACCCCUAAGGCGAGGCCGAAAGGCGUAGUCGAUGGGAAACAGGUUAAUAUUCCUGUACUUGGUGUUACUGCGAAGGGGGGACGGAGAAGGCUAUGUUGGCCGGGCGACGGUUGUCCCGGUUUAAGCGUGUAGGCUGGUUUUCCAGGCAAAUCCGGAAAAUCAAGGCUGAGGCGUGAUGACGAGGCACUACGGUGCUGAAGCAACAAAUGCCCUGCUUCCAGGAAAAGCCUCUAAGCAUCAGGUAACAUCAAAUCGUACCCCAAACCGACACAGGUGGUCAGGUAGAGAAUACCAAGGCGCUUGAGAGAACUCGGGUGAAGGAACUAGGCAAAAUGGUGCCGUAACUUCGGGAGAAGGCACGCUGAUAUGUAGGUGAAGCGACUUGCUCGUGGAGCUGAAAUCAGUCGAAGAUACCAGCUGGCUGCAACUGUUUAUUAAAAACACAGCACUGUGCAAACACGAAAGUGGACGUAUACGGUGUGACGCCUGCCCGGUGCCGGAAGGUUAAUUGAUGGGGUCAGCGCAAGCGAAGCUCUUGAUCGAAGCCCCGGUAAACGGCGGCCGUAACUAUAACGGUCCUAAGGUAGCGAAAUUCCUUGUCGGGUAAGUUCCGACCUGCACGAAUGGCGUAAUGAUGGCCAGGCUGUCUCCACCCGAGACUCAGUGAAAUUGAACUCGCUGUGAAGAUGCAGUGUACCCGCGGCAAGACGGAAAGACCCCGUGAACCUUUACUAUAGCUUGACACUGAACAUUGAGCCUUGAUGUGUAGGAUAGGUGGGAGGCUUUGAAGUGUGGACGCCAGUCUGCAUGGAGCCGACCUUGAAAUACCACCCUUUAAUGUUUGAUGUUCUAACGUUGACCCGUGAUCCGGGUUGCGGACAGUGUCUGGUGGGUAGUUUGACUGGGGCGGUCUCCUCCUAAAGAGUAACGGAGGAGCACGAAGGUUGGCUAAUCCUGGUCGGACAUCAGGAGGUUAGUGCAAUGGCAUAAGCCAGCUUGACUGCGAGCGUGACGGCGCGAGCAGGUGCGAAAGCAGGUCAUAGUGAUCCGGUGGUUCUGAAUGGAAGGGCCAUCGCUCAACGGAUAAAAGGUACUCCGGGGAUAACAGGCUGAUACCGCCCAAGAGUUCAUAUCGACGGCGGUGUUUGGCACCUCGAUGUCGGCUCAUCACAUCCUGGGGCUGAAGUAGGUCCCAAGGGUAUGGCUGUUCGCCAUUUAAAGUGGUACGCGAGCUGGGUUUAGAACGUCGUGAGACAGUUCGGUCCCUAUCUGCCGUGGGCGCUGGAGAACUGAGGGGGGCUGCUCCUAGUACGAGAGGACCGGAGUGGACGCAUCACUGGUGUUCGGGUUGUCAUGCCAAUGGCACUGCCCGGUAGCUAAAUGCGGAAGAGAUAAGUGCUGAAAGCAUCUAAGCACGAAACUUGCCCCGAGAUGAGUUCUCCCUGACCCUUUAAGGGUCCUGAAGGAACGUUGAAGACGACGACGUUGAUAGGCCGGGUGUGUAAGCGCAGCGAUGCGUUGAGCUAACCGGUACUAAUGAACCGUGAGGCUUAACCUUACAACGCCGAAGCUGUU
rnacentral:rRNA from 1 species